GGUUGAUACAUUUGUCAAUUUCAUUGUUAGAAUCCAACAAGCACCUGCUGUGGCACGGAAAACUUCUCUUCAUCCACCUACGAUGGUGAUGGUUAAAGAAGCGCUGAAGGAGUUGGACUCUCGAAUGGUCUCAUCGCAGGCCAUUCGCGGCUACAUAACAGAGAAAUAUCCAUCUGUGGACCUGAUGAGGUUGAAGUACAUGACACGCAAGACCCCAAAAAAAGGAACCGAGGGCGGGGUAUUGGUAAGAACACCAACUCGAUAGCAAACGGCGCACAGGGGAGGUUUCGGUCAGGGUUAGGGUGAAGGAGCCCAAGCCAAAGGCCACUGAGAACACUGAUCCCAAUGUGGAGAAGGCUGCCAAGGUUGGAGCCAAGAAGACUAAGGACAAGGAAGCCGGUAAACUGAAUCCACUGAAUUAAUUGUGCUCAUCACUCCUAGGAUUAAGACAUCACCCUAUAAUCCGCCCAAUUGUAUGGGAUCGUUGUUAUUGAGCUACACCCAUUGCAAUGGAGGACAUUUAACAUUGCUCAUUCAAUGACUUGUAUGGGUAUCUCACUUCUCAUGGUGUCCAUGAUUGCAUGCAUACACACACAUCACUAACUCUUGUCUCUAGAAGCUGAGAAAAAAAAGGCUACAGCCAAAAAGCAGAAGGAGAAACCUCCAGAGGAUGCAAAACUCAGGAAGGCCGCAAAAGCAUCCUCUUCCAAAGGUGCCCCCUGCUAAGAAGCCCAAGUCGAACAGGACAAUGGGGAAGAGGGGACAGCUGAGGAUCAACCCAAAGCACAGAAGACUACCAAGGGUGAAGGGGCAGCCAAGAAGGGUGCAAAGGCCAAAGCUUUCCAGAAGCCUGCAGAGGGUGAUGAAGGGGACACUGCUGCUCCUGAAGCUAAAAAUCACAGUGAAACGAGGCAAGAGGGCAGCAGCAGAAUGACUGCACUCCUUUUAUCCACUUUGUAUGUUUUUAAAUAAAGCUGUUUUUUGUAGUUCUUCUUUGUGUCAUUUAAGUGUAGACCUAGCUGCAGUAAAAUGUCCACUUUUCCUGUAGAUAAGUGUUG
rnacentral:lncRNA from 1 species